rnacentral:sRNA from 1 species
UCGUCAUCAUCGAACGCCGCGAGUCGGCC